UGAAUUGAAUUUCUUUAUUGAGUCUUUUAGGUUACAGUUGCUGUCUUAGUCUAAAAAUAACAAUUCUUUACUACUUUACUUAAGUUAAACUGGCGGCUAUAAUGUAUUGCCUGCUCUUUCAGUUGCUUUGUAAUGAAAAUGAAUACAAUGUUUGCCUCAUGGCGGUCAGUAAAAUGUUUUUCUUUUUUUCUACUCUUGCUCAUGACAGAGAGUUUUGUUUACGUUAACUGUGUGACGUUUUGUCACCCUCUUAUAAACUAGGAUACAUAUAUACAAUAAAAAAACUACAGAUACCUUACAAACUAACCCUACGAUAGAAUGCCUUGAACAUUUGUUAGGUUUGUGAGAUACGAAUAUACAUAUGAAUAUUAUUAACAUGGAGGAAAAAGGCAUUUAUCGGGGAACACAUUUAUACUUCGAUUGUUGAGUACGAGACGAGAUAAACAUAGAUACACAGAGGGUGUUACAAAAGAAAAAAAAAAAGAAACUUCAUUAAUGAAGAUAAUGAAUGACAGAUAACAUUGAUUAUUACAAUUAUUUGUUUUAUAAAAUAUUUUUACUUUUGAUUUGUUGUUCAUUUAAUUGUCUUUUACAUUGGUGAUUUUGUAAUUAUUUAUUUUAUAAUAAUACCUGUUAUAUAUUGUUUGAUAAAUACUUGAAUUGUAUUUUAUUUCAAUUAGAAGAUAACUAAAUGAUACUUAUUCUAGUAUUUUUAAGUAGAAAAGGGGUUCCCCCAACGUACACUGUAGUGAAUCGCGGGACGCAAGUGGCGAAUGGAUAAUUAUCCGCGAUUUUGAUUUGGGAUGGCCCUGUUAUAGAACUCUAAAGGUUCUAACACUGGAGCGUCAAGAUCCACUGAGAGUAUUCCGAGUGGUGACAGAUAACCAACGCCGUCCCAAGAGGACCCAGUCUGGGAUGCUAAGGAAUGUAUUAUUAAGUCGUUUUCGGAUUGUUCAAAGUUUGAAAUUGUUUUUUUCAUGAGAAGCGAGACGUAUUUCAUCAGCGGGACAGUAUUUGUGUCGCUGUAAAUAAAGUUAUUUGAGAAUCUUUUGGUCCGGGUCUCAAAGUUUUUACCAGCACAGAGCCUAAGAAGUUUUCUUUCAAGGAUUUCCAUAUUUUGGGCUACCGAGGGAGAGAUGGUAAACCAUAUUGGAAACCCGUAUGUCAUUACUGGUCUAACUAAUGUUUUAUAAAACAGUAGUUUGGAUUUUUUGUUUAAGGCUCUGUGCCUGAAAAAGGGCAUCAGCAUGUUAGAGACUUUUCUGGUCUUUUCAAUGGUGAGUUUAGCAUGAUAAUUAAAUUUAAAUAGAUUGUUGAAGUUGAUUCCUAAAUAUUUCAACUUGUUUUGAACUUGGAUUGGGCAACCGUUGACGUUUAGUGUGAGAUGUUUGCUUUCCCUUACUACUCCAAUUGGACCUUUACCACUCGCGUUUCUGAUGCAAAUCAGUUCUGAUUUUGGGACAUUCAGCUUGAUACCCCAGGUGUUGUAAUAGUCGUUUAUGACCCCGAUGUGUUUUUCGAGGUGGUGUAGAGCUACUAGUGGAUAUUCGUGGUUGGAGUACGCGAUGGUGUCGUCGGCGUAAAGGAGACCGGUUGAGACCAAAUUAUUUUCUGACCAUGUAUGGGGGAAGUCGUGCACAAAGAUGUUGUAUAGGUGUGGGCCCAAUAUUGACCCUUGCGGGACGCCACUGUCGCAGCUUCGGGGGUUCGACUUUGUCCCUUGAAUUUGUACGAAGAAAGUUCUAUUAGAUAGAAAGCUGUGCAGAAUAUUGUAGAUGUAACUAGGAAGAUUAAUUGAUACGAGUUUAGAGAUAAGCCCCACCCUCCAUACGCUAUCGAAGGCUUUUUCAACAUCGAGAGAGCAGGCGACUGUGCAUCUUUUUUCUCUCAGAUUUAAGAUGAUAUCGUUUUGAAAUUUGGUUAGCGCAUGGAGGGUGGAGUGUCCUCUGCGGAACCCGAAUUGGAAGUCGGGUAUCGGGUCUAUGGGGUUGUCUAGCGGGCAAUUCAUUUUGUUCAGGAUUAUUCUUUCGAGUAUUUUCCCGGUGUUGGAAAGUAGGGAAAUCGGUCUAUAAUUGUUAAUGUCAAAAUUGUUUUGUUUUUUAACUAUAGGCAGGAUCCUAGCUGUUUUCCAGAGGCUGGGGAAGUAGGCAUUGUUAAUGCAAUUAUUGUAUAGAAUUGUUAGGAAGUUAACCGCUUGAUUUGAAAUUUUUUUCAGAAAGUAAUUAGAAAUGUUGUCCGGCCCGGACGAUUUUUUUGGUCUUAGAAGCUUAAGCAGGUUCUUCACAGAAUCAGGGUCAGUAAAAAUAUGGGGUGCAAUAGGGUUCAGUGCAGAGUUUUCGGAAUUGAAUAGGAAAAUGUGUUCCGGUGUGUUUAGAGCCACUGAGUUAGCGGACUCUUGGGCUCUUUGCGUGGUGUUUAUGUUGAAUAGCGGCACUCUUUCUUUGUACACGUCUGUAAAGUGUUUUUCGAAAGAUUCAACGAUUUUUGCUUCGCUGGUGAAGGUCUCAUUAUUAACGACCACUUUAUUGCAAUGAAAUUUUUUCUUUUUGCCCAAGAUCCCGAACGCCUCUUUAAAGGCCCAUGGGCCAGGCUUAAUUUUGGAAAGUCUGUUACUUAGUU